UGUCAAUCCACAUCCACUCGAGAGUCGAGAGUGGCAAGUCGCAAGUGGCAACUGGUGGCCCAGCAUAAACAAAACAGACAACUUUGGCAUCCUCCGCCUGCCCCGCCCCCGAUCUCUCCCCACCGCCGGCGACGACCGACGGGAUCCAUGGCGACGCGCACCACCUACGCCGACGCGCUGGCGGCGGCGCGCCCGUACCUGCGGGGCGAGGAGGACCAGUGCGGCGACCCGGCCCUGCCCGCCCUCACCGCCGUGCUGCGCGCUGCGGGCGCCGGCGAGUGCUGGCACAAGCACGGCACCUUCCUCGCCCACCUGCUCGAGGUCUACCGGAUCCUGCGCCUCUGGGCUUCCCCCGACGCCGUCGCGCGCUGCGGCCUCUACCACUCCGCAUACUCCAACUCGUACGUCAACCUCGCCAUCUUCGAGCCCGACGUCGGCCGCGCCCGCGUCGCCGCCGUCGUCGGGGACGAGGCCGAGCGGCUCGUCCACCUCUUCUGCGUCGUCCCGCGCCAGCAGCUCGUCCACGAUGACCUGCUCUUCCACUACGACGACGCCGACCUCGCCGCCGACCUCGCCCGGUCGGAGGAGUCCGUCCUGGACGCGCGCCGCGGGGUGUUCGACGACGACGAGCCCUGGCGACGCAAGAUCCAGCGCCUCCUCCCCGCCGACGGAAUCACAGUCAAGCACAUCAGGACUGGUGAAGAUGUGGCUCUCUCUAGGCGGAUAGCGGCGACAUUCCUUAUGAUGACAAUGGCAGACUUCAGUGACCAGCUCUUUGACUGGCAGGACCGCCUCUUCGACAACACCAACGGCCGCCUCGAGUUCUGAGGCAACACCUGGACGUCACUGUGGCCUGGCACAGGCAAGCCCGGCCUUUGGACCACGUCCAUCUCCCGCAUGGGUGUGCUCUACAACCUCAUUGUUCGCGAGGAGGAGAUAUACUUAGCUCAACGAGCUCACACCACCGGCAAGGAAGGCAAUGACUCUUCUACACGCGACGAGGACAUCGCCCUGGUGAUCCCUCCAGUGUUCGAUGGCUGCACCAAGGUGCUGGAUGCUGAUGACCAGAAGGCUGCGCGAGACCUCUACUGGGAGGCGGUGUGCAGCGACGAUGAGGCAACGGACCGGUCCAAAGUGGAGGAGCUGCUCCGGCAGAGCGUCACCAAGAACCCGUUUGUGGGGGAGCCACGGCUGGUGCUCGCGCAGAUGUGCCUGAACGCGGAGAUGUACGAGGAGGCGCAGGAGCAGGCGGAGGAAGGUCUGAAGCUGCUGCUGGAGUGGGGGAGCAGCUGGGACAAGAGGAUGCCAUGGGAGGGCUGGGUGUCCUGGGGCAGAGCCAUGCUGACUAAGGCCAAGGAGAAGGACUGGCCUCAUACCUCCUUCGGCAUCCUCAGCCUAGGCCUUGUCAAGUAGUCGCUGUCCGUCCAUGUUACAGUCUCAGCAAGAUACGAUUAGUACAAAAGGUAUGAAAUGAUCUCCCUGCAAUAAUGAAAUAAGUGAAUUCACAUAAACUAGUACACGACGAUGGAUUAUUGUUUUUCUUGUGAAAAGAAAAUACACACUUGUGAUUACCCUAUAGGUAUUGUGUUAGAUGUCUGUACAGUAGUCUCAGAGAUAUGCUUUGGAUGUUAUGAAUAUAAAUGAUUUCACAGGCAUUAAGAUCGAUUUGCCAUUUUCCUUGUAA